AUUUUCUCUUGCCUCUGCUAUGUAAGAAAACCUUUCACCUCCCACCAUGAUUUUGAGACCUCCCCAGCCAAGUGGAACUGAAGGGUCCUGUCCUGUACCCGGGAGGAAGAAAUGCUACACAGAGAAGCCAAGAUGAAUCUGAACAGACAGCCUUUGUCAGUUCCACAGAUUCCAUAAAAGUUAACUCCAGAGCAGAGAAUGAUGCCACAGUCGGGAUAACAUCCAAUAUUUGCAAUCAGAAGAAAUAUGAGAGUCUUGCUCCAUCACCCAGGCUGCAGUGCAGUGGCACGAUCUUGGCUCACUGCAAGCUCCACCUCCCGGGUUCACGCCAUUCUCCUGCCUCAGCCUCCCAAGUAGCUGGGACUACAGGCGCCCACCACCACGCCCAGCUAAAUUUUUUUGUAUUUUUAGUAGAGAUGGGGUUUCACUGUGUUAGCCAGGAUGGUCUCGAUUUCCUGACCUCGUGAUCUGCCUGCCUCGGCCUCCCAAAGUGCUGGGAUUACAGGCGUGAGCCACUGUGCCCGGCCGUAAUUAUUCUUUUCGUGUUAAGCAAUGGUAAAAGAACUGACUGAAAAUAAGAAUAUUAAAAAGUUUCUCUGCUAAAAACA
rnacentral:lncRNA from 1 species